AUGCUUCCUGCUGCAGUGGGCAAGAGUUUGGAUGCGCGCUCUGUUGCAGUGGAGCACGGCAAAGAUAUCCUGCCAGCAGCAGGAGCAGAGCAGAAGGAAUAUUUUGACCCUUCUUCUAAGAAUAAGGUUCCUACACUGGAGGCAGAAGAUCUUCAGCUAAGGUCUGAUUCUUCAAGUCAAACAGAUUCUCAGCUGGACAGACAGGUGACUCUAAUAGAGGCAGAAGCAGAUAUCCCUAAAUAGAGCCUGUCAGUGUAAGCAGAGGUGUUCUGACUGUGGAAUUCAUUUUGAAAAACUGCUGAGAGGAGGUGAUUGA